UACGUAGGGUGCAGGCGUUAAUCGGAAUUACUGGGCGUAAAGCGUGCGCAGGCGGUUAUGUAAGACAGUUGUGAAAUCCCCCGGGCUCAACCUGGGAAUUGCAUCUGUGACUGCAUAGCUAGAGUACGGUAGAGGGGGAUGGAAUUCCGCGUGUAGCAGUGAAAUGCGUAGAUAUGCGGAGGAACACCGAUGGCGAAGGCAAUCCCCUGGACCUGUACUGACGCUCAUGCACGAAAGCGUGGGGAGCAAACAGGG
rnacentral:rRNA from 1 species